UCGCGAAGAACCUUACCUGGUCUUGAGAUCCGGACGAAUACAGAGUAAUGUCUGUAGCCUUCGGGCGGCCGAGACAGGUGGUGCAUGGUUGUCGUCAGCUCGUGUCGUGAGAUGUUGGGUUAAGUCCCGCAACGAGCGCAACCCUUGUCCUUUGUUGCCAGCGGGUAAAGCCGGGAACUCAAAGGAGACUGCCAGUGACAAACUGGAGGAAGGCAGGGAUGACGUCAAGUCAUCAUGGCCCUUACGGUCAGGGCUACACACGUGCUACAAUGGGGCGUACAGAGGGAUGCGAUGCCGCGAGGCGGAGCGAAUCCCAGAGAGCCGGCCCCAGUUCGGAUCGGGGUCUGCAACCCGACCCCGUGAAGUCGGAUUUGCUAGUAACGGCGCAUCAGCUACGGCGCCGUGAAUGCGUUCCCGGGUCUUGUACACACCGA
rnacentral:rRNA from 1 species